UGCCCAUCUUCUUUUUGAAGAUCCACUUACACCCUAUGGAUUUUAUCCCUUCAAGUGGAUCAACCAUUAUCCAUAUAUUGUUGAUUUUCAUGGACUCCAUUUUGAAUUUCAUGGCUUCCAACUAUUUAUCAGAGUCAGACCUCUGCAUCGCAUCCAUAUGGAUGAUCGGAUCCUCAUUGUUCUCAUCAAGUUCAACUGGAUCACCGUUCUAGACUAAAAAAUUAUAGUAUCUAUCCAGUUGAUGUGGUACC
rnacentral:lncRNA from 1 species